rnacentral:sRNA from 1 species
UGUUGAAUCUGUAGGUUAGACGAUUACCAGUC